rnacentral:sRNA from 1 species
UGUCAACAUACCUGGCUGCAAGCAAGUUGCUGCCUGUGACCACUGUCUGCAGAGGCCAGAGAGAGCAAGAAAGGAAGUGGAAAGGAACCUCACCUUCAUGCUUGGGGAGAAGGAGAAACCUGUGUUAAUGUGUCUUCCCAACGUCCCACUCUCUUCAGCAAUCACUGGAACAGCCAUGGGCCAUCCCUGUUGAGUCAGGAAAGAAGCUGAGGGAAGAGUCGGGAUUGAAAAGCAGCAGACAAGGGAAAUGUGGACACAAGCACAUGGAGAGAACACCAUGUGAACAUAAAGAUGGCCAUCUACGAGCCAAGGAGUGAAGCAUGGAAUGGAUGCUUCCCUCAUAGCCUUCAGAAGAAACCAACUUUGCCAACACCUUGAUUUCAGACUUCUAGCCUCCAAAACUGUGAGACAAUAAAUUUCUGUUGUUUAAGCCA